AGACAGGUUCUCACUCUGUCAUCAAGGCUGGAGUGCAGUGGCGCCAUCUCAGCUCACUGCAGCCUCAACCUCCCGGGCUCAAGCAAUCCUCCAACCUCAGCAUCCCCACUCCCUUGAGUAGCUGGGACUGCAGGCACGUGCCACCAUGCCCAGCUAAUUUUUGUAUUUUUUGUAGAGACAGGGUUUCUUCAUGUUGCCAGGCUGGUUUCAAACUCCUGGGCUCAAGCGAUCCUCCCAAAGUGUUCGGCCUCCCAAAGUGCUGGUAUUAUAGGCAUGAGUUACCGUGCCUGGCCAAGACUCUUUAAUUUAAAAUCGCUUUUUCAGAAACAGCAAAUGGAAGACCCUGAGACAGGAGACUGCCUGAUACACGCAAGUUCCAGCAAGAGUCCACGGCAGCUAAGUCACAGUGAGCAAGGGGAACAAGGAUGAGAGAUGCAGUCAAAGAGGCCAUCGUGAGGGCUCUUGUCGGUCGGCCAUGGUGCCGGGAGCAAAGAGAUGAUUAAGACACCAUCCCAGGCCUCAAGCCCCACGAAACGCAGGGGAAGCGCCAUGCUAUGCAGCCAGCAAUCGUUUUACCUUUUAAGAGCUCUGAGAGAGACACCCACUGGAAAGGGGUGCAGAGGACCCCAGAGGAUCAACUAACCCAGUGUGGGAGGGUCAGGGAAAGCUUCAUAGAGGCCGUGACCCUUAGGGCAAAUCUUGAGAGGAAGAUGGCCAGGCAGAGGAAAUGGGAAAGUCUGUUCCAGCACCAUAUUUGCUAGAUUCUUGGCACUUUAUGUAUAGCAUCUCCUUUAAUCUUCACAACUACCCUGCUGCACAGCAUUUUAGAGGAGCAUGUGGUGUAUGGAUCCCCCCUUACACCAGUACUGUGCACUCCUCCUGAUGAUGGAGAGAUUGGGAGGGACCACCUGGCUAGGAUUGCUGGCUCUCCUGACACCUUCUCGUGGCAUCCAUGUGGUUUAUCCAGUUUUCUGAAAAUGAUACCUGCAAUAUAUCAGACAGAAGCUGAUCCAUUAGCUCAGGUUCGUCAGGUCCAGAGGGAAGAUGACAUGGACGGGAACCACAGCUGACCCAUAAUGGACAUUAAGGGUACUGGAAGAGCAAGUGUCUCUCCAUUGGGACUUUUAUAAUGAAAAGACUCACAAGAUAGUUGGUUUCUUAAGUGUCGGAAGGACUUUCAGAUGCUAACCAAACCGCAUCCCCUACAAAAGACAAAUAUCCCCCACAAACUUAGAAGAUAAGCAAACUUGACUGGGCGCAGUGGCUCACUCUUAUAAUCCCAGCGCUUUGGGAGGCCGAGGUGGGCAGAUCACCUGAUGUCAGGAGUUCAAGACCAGCCUGGCCAACAUGGUGAAACUCUGUCUCUACUAAAAAUACAAAAAUUAACCAGACGUGGUGGUGCACGCCUGUAAUCCCAGCUACUCGGGAGGCUGAAGCGGGAGAAUCGCUUGAACCCUGGAGGCGGACGUUGCAGUGAGCCGAGAUCGUGCCACAGCACUCUGGCCUGGGCAACAGAGUCAGACUCCAUCUAAAAAAAAAAAAAAAAGAAAGAAGAAAGAAAAAAGAAAAGAAAAAGAAGAUAAGCAAACUUUACAGCUCUCUUCUGCAUUUCCAUUAUGGGUGUUGAUAUGGUUUGGCUGUGUCCCCACGUAAAUCUCAUCUUGAAUUGUAGCUCCCAUAAUCCCCACAUGUCGUGGGGGGUAAUUGAAUCGUGGGGGUGGGUUUUUCCCAUGACAGUGAGUAAGUCGUAGGAGGUCUGAUGGUUGUAUAAAGGGCAGUUCCCCCGCACACUCUCUCUUGCCUGCCCCCACAUAAGACAUGCCUUCGCUCCUCCUUUGCUUUCUGCGAUGAUUGUGAGGCCUCCCC
rnacentral:lncRNA from 1 species